rnacentral:rRNA from 1 species
AUUGAACGCUGGCGGCAUGCCUUACACAUGCAAGUCGAACGGCAGCACGGGGCAACCUGGUGGCGAGUGGCGAACGGGUGAGUAAUGCAUCGGAACGUGCCAUUGAGUGGGGGAUAACGUAGCGAAAGUUGCGCUAAUACCGCAUAUUCUGUGAGCAGGAAAGCAGGGGACCGCAAGGCCUUGCGCUCUUUGAGCGGCCGAUGUCAGAUUAGCUAGUUGGUGAGGUAACGGCUUACCAAGGCGACGAUCUGUAGCGGGUCUGAGAGGAUGAUCCGCCACACUGGAACUGAGACACGGUCCAGACUCCUACGGGAGGCAGCAGUGGGGAAUUUUGGGACAAUGGGCGGAAGCCUGAUCCAGCCAUGCCGCGUGAGUGAAGAAGGCCUC